UGGGGAAUAUUGGACAAUGGGCGAAAGCCUGAUCCAGCCAUGCCGCGUGUGUGAAGAAGGUCUUCGGAUUGUAAAGCACUUUAAGCGAGGAGGAGGGUACUGGUAUUAAUACUACCAGGUACUGGACGUUACUCGCAGAAUAAGCACCGGCUAACUCUGUGCCAGCAGCCGCGGUAAUACAGAGGGUGCAAGCGUUAAUCGGAAUUACUGGGCGUAAAGCGCGCGUAGGUGGUUCGUUAAGUUGAAUGUGAAAGCCCCGGGCUCAACCUGGGAACUGCAUCCAAAACUGGCGGGCUAGAGUAGGGCAGAGGGUGGUGGAAUUUCCUGUGUAGCGGUGAAAUGCGUAGAUAUAGGGAGGAACACCAGUGGCGAAGGCGACCACCUGGGCUCAUACUGACACUGAGGUGCGAAAGCGUGGGGAGCAAACAGG
rnacentral:rRNA from 1 species